rnacentral:rRNA from 1 species
GGAGGGUGCGAGCGUUAAUCGGAAUAACUGGGCGUAAAGGGCACGCAGGCGGUGACUUAAGUGAGGUGUGAAAGCCCCGGGCUUAACCUGGGAAUUGCAUUUCAUACUGGGUCGCUAGAGUACUUUAGGGAGGGGUAGAAUUCCACGUGUAGCGGUGAAAUGCGUAGAGAUGUGGAGGAAUACCGAAGGCGAAGGCAGCCCCUUGGGAAUGCACUGACGCUCAUGUGCGAAAGCGUGGGGAGCAAACAGGACUAGAUGCCCUGGUAGUCCACGCUGUAAACGAUGUCGAUUUGGGGGUUGAGCUUUGAGCUAGGCGCCCGUAGCUAACGUGAUAAAUCGACCGCCUGGGGAGUACGGCCGCAAGGUUA